AGUUCACUUCAAAGAGGGCUCACGGGGCUGUGAAACCAAAAGCUCUUAAUAUUAUGACCAAAGACUGAAGUUCUCUAUAGGAUGCCAUAACACUCAAUAGUGUUACUUAUCUGAGGAGAUAUAAGA
ensembl:snoRNA